GUGGUCUCUGGCGAGCUUGCGGUGUCGCUCGUGUUGCCCGCGUUACAUCCUCCUCCUCCAAAUCACGAUUUCGCCCCGAAAAACAAAAAGCUACCUU